GUGAAGCUUGUGAUGAUUCUCAUCUAAUAAAUGAGUUAUUUUUAACUGAGAUAAUAAUCUUUGAAGUUUUUUCACCUUGGAGAACUGAAGCUUCCU